rfam:Absidia repens strain NRRL 1336 BCR42scaffold_32, whole genome shotgun sequence.
GGCCUCGUGGCGAAAUGGAUAUCGCGUCAGACUUCGGAUCUGAAGAUUGGGAGUUCGAUCCUCCUCGAGGUCG